GGUUCCCUAUGAACAGGGGAAGGGGGACCUUCCGGAGCAGAUGCUUUCCUCCCAUCCACAAUGGGUGGUUGUCUUUUUCUUGGAUGGAAUCUGUACUACUCAGCGGGAGAGCCUCCAUGAAGCAUGAGCAACACAAGUUCUGUGAUCCCAUUUCUGCAGUGUCUUCAUGAUUGUCAGGGGACAAAACCUUCUUAAUGAGUAUGCUUAGGGCAGCCUGCUUGGUCUGAUACUGGCUCUCAAGGACGAGGUCAGGCAGACGGAACAAGGACACUGCCCACAGGCUGCAGUGUGUGGGAAGGGGGGCGGGUGGAGACCGGAGGAGAGAAGAGGCUGAAAGCUAGCUCUAGUUCUGUGCCAGGAAAUGCGUGGUCUUCUUUGGUCCUAACCCCCACAGCAACCUGGCUAGGUAAUUAUUGCUAUUUUCUUUUUACAAAAGGUGAAACUGAGUCUCUGCCUGGCUUUAAAGUCCUUGCUGUUUCAUGUAUACACUUCUCUCACAUGGAAGGAAGAGUUCAAUUGCCAAGCUGGAAAGAGGUGGUGAUGCUCAGUGGAGAGUGCCUGGUUUCUAGCCCCAACCACGUGACUUCAGCAGGUGCUCCCCCCCAACCCAUCCCCAUGCAAAGAUCUGGGUUCCAGCUCCAACACUGCCACCAGAUGGCCAACUGUUCUUAGGCCAGUGGUCUAACCUCUCUGGGCUUCAGCUUCAUCAUCCCUUGUUAGAUGUGCUCUGCCUACCUCACGGGACUGGACUGCUGAGUGGAACAAAUGAGGGUUAUGAGACACAGCUCUUUCACUGGGGUGGACAUACCAUGAGAAGGUGGUGGAGGCAACUUGUGUUAAUAAGGUCCGGCUCCAGGUUCAGACUCUAACCUGUGACUUGAGAGCCCAUGAGGUGUGUUCUCCUACCACAUAGUGGAUUUGUUAGGAAGUGACUACCAGUCAUGGACUAACCCAAGGCCUUUUUUAUCAAGGCUUGUUUGCUGUGAUGAAACAGCUGCUGUGUUGUGAACUGCCCCAAGGAAAGGAGGGCAAUGGAACUGAGGGAGACCUCCACCAGCAGGCUUAGAGGACCUGAAUCCUGCCAACACCCACUGGAGUGACCUUGAAAGUGGAUUCUCUCCAAGUUAAGCCUUGAGAUGGUUCAAACACCUUGACUGCAGCCUUAUGAGAAGUCCUGAGUCAGAGGAUCCAGUUCAGCCACUGCCCACAGACUCCUGACUCACACUGCACUUGGGAGAGAAAUAAGUUUGAGUGGAAUCUGAAGAUCUUUUCACUGCCCUUCAUGCUGUAUCAUAUAAGCAAAGCUUCCAAGUCACACAGUGAGACCCAGGAGGCAGGAGCCAAUAAAAUCUUAAAAACACCCGAGGACCAGGCCCACACAUUCCAAAUGCUUCUUAGGACUCUUUGCCCCUCAUGGCCUUGCCGUGUGACCUGCUGCCAACACCACAGAGUAGCUGUCCUGGGAGCAACACUCACAAAGAAGCAUGGCAUUGUUUUAGUCCAUGGUGUUGGAGAGAAGAAAAAAGUGAAAUUGACAAGAAAAAUAAUCAAUACAUAAAAUUAAUGUCAAAUUUUUUAAAUGCCCUUAUUUCUUUGGUAUUAACCUACACUUGGAUUCCCUUUCACUUGCAUUGUUUGUCCUGAGCUUAAAAUACAUGUAUGGACUAAUGUGCAAGGUACCUCGCCAGAAAUAGCAGAUUCCCAUCUCACUUAUGCAUGGUAUGAACUAAUACAAUGAUUUAGUGUGUGGUAUGUAAAAUUAAGCACUAAGAAGCUCUGAAACCAGAAGGGCAUGCACUGUUUUGAUGACUGCAAAUAAUGCCCUUUGAUUUCUUUUUUUUUUUUUUUAAUGUACUUGUUUUCAUUAUCAUUGCAUAUUGGAUUGUUAAGUUUUCAGACCCUGGACUACAUAUUUUACGGGCACUGUCACCUUUUAACUUUAAUACAUACAGCAAUUCUGACAGCGGGUGCUAUUGCUUCCAUUUUAGAGAUCAGAAAAUUAAGGCUUAUAGGAGUCAAGUUGCCAAAGUCACAAAGUUGGCACAUGGCGGACCUGGGAUUCAAACCCAGUCUUUUCUGAGUUCAAGCUCUCAGCUAAACCCCAAGCACUGUUUUGCCUACCAUGGAGGGUUAAACCAGCAGCCAAGGACAUCUCUUACACAUGUGUCCAGUCUUGUGUCAAAGGGGCAUGUGACCAGACCUGUCCCUACCCUUUGUAUGAGCACCUCCCACCCCCAGUCCUAAAAUGUUCUGCUUAACUGAGGUUUGAGUUACUGAAUGGGCAAACAGAUAAACCAGGAGGUAAUUAUUUAUAUAACCAGCAAAAUAAUCUUUCAAAAUAGAAUAUCAUUAGUCCUUUGAGUAGUUUAUUGAUGACUCAUGAUUCUUAAAAUCUCUGAUAGGAAAGGAAUUUAGAAGUUCAUCUGAUGCAAACUUCCUUGACUACUGAAUUGAGAUGCCAUGAAACUUAAACUAAAAGAGUCUAUUGGAGUGAAAUUGUGGAUAAUCAUGGAUAUCAUCUCUAAGAUGAUAAUGUGAAUGUGAAUAGGAAGGAAGAGUUCACUGGACUCAAUCUGAUUAUUUAUUUUUCAAGUAUUUUUAUAUCCAAUUUUGGGAAUAAAUAAUUUUAUCCAAAUCUUCCUCUCCCUCUUUUCCAUAAUCCAAAUUCUGUCCAUUCUUCAAGUCCUAAUUUAAUUGUAAGUUUUUUCAUGGAAAUUCCUCAAUGGUGGGACAGCUAUUUUUCCUUCUGGACUUCCAUUUUUCUCAGUCUUGUUUAUGUCACUUAGUGUUUGAUUUUCAGACUGCAUUCUAAUAGUUUCAUCAUUCUAACUGAUUGAGUGAAGGACAUAGAAAGUGUAUAUUCAGUUUCUUGCUUCCCCAGAAGCCCCUCACUUAGGGAUUGACUUUGUAGCAGGUGCUUUCAGGGCCCCGCCCUACUCUUUGGACCCUUCAGUGGGCUCCAGCUAACUUAAAAAUGUCAGUAUCUGCCUUUGUGUGCCUGAAGGGUCCCCUUCCUUCACCCUCAGUAGGGGAAAGCUUGCUCUUUGGAUAUAUGGCAGGCCAGAGUUUCAAAGAGUUACCACCCUCUAGCAAUAGCCCUCAAACUAAUGAAGCUCUUAAGUUGGUAUAUAAACACCCCAGCUCCCUCACUCCUUGAAGGGGUUCUGAAUCAUGUGCUUUGCACCAUUUCCCAGAGUUUUCUUGAGAGGUAGGCUCCAGCGGUCCAUAGCAGUAGCUGGCUAAAAAAGUCAUGUGCCCUUUAUUUAUUGCAUUUUCUCCUUGUGUUACCUGCAGUGCUCAAGUAGAUAGUUUACACUCACAUCAGGAUCUGCUUCUGGGGAACUCAAACCAAGACAGGUAUAGAGGAUAUUGUCAAUAUUGACUUAUUGGUUGGAUGAUUAGCUGACUGUCAGUGUUUUUCCUUGCAGGUACAGGGAUUGUGCGUUUUUUUUCGGAAGCCAUGGUGCUUUUCUGCCCAGUGGUACUCAUUCAUUCCUAGUUGAAUGGAACAAUGAUGAGGGCAAGGAUUCCCACCCCAGGUUCAUCUAGCUCUGUUCACUACUCUGUAUUUGUGAUCUAUUACUGACUUCGGUAAGUAGCAAAGAGCCCAGGGGAAUUAUGUCAAACCUCUAUUCCCUCUCUCCCAUCCCUGCUGCUACCAGCUGCAUGCAAUUCUCAUGUUUUAUUGUCUUUACAUUGAUUACCUUCUGACAAGGCCAGGAAGAAAUGCUGACCCUUGGUUACAACUAAGCAAAGGCCCCUUCCCUUUGGAAACACAAAAAAGAAUGAGAAAAUGAACAACAGAAAGAUGUUUCCUAACAGGGCCAUGUCAAAUUUAUAGAUAAAUAAAAUAUCAAAGAUCAAAUGAGGCUAGAUCAGCAGUUUGGAUCUCUCCCCAACCAAGCAGAGAAUAUGCUGUCGACUCCGUCUUGGACUGAUUUCCAACUUUGUGUUUCACAGCUGUAGCCAGGCAGAGUACGUCCAAUAAUGCUAUUUGUUUUCCACUUAAAAAAAAAAAAAAAAGGCUGGG